AGCGAACGCUGGCGGCAGGCUUAACACAUGCAAGUCGAACGCCCCGCAAGGGGAGUGGCAGACGGGUGAGUAACACGUGGGAACGUACCCUUUGGUUCGGAAUAACUUGGGGAAACUCAAGCUAAUACCGGAUAAGCCCGUAUGGGGAAAGGUUGACUGCGGAAGGAUCGGCCCGCGUCUGAGUAGCUAGUUGGUGAGGUAAUGGCUCACCAAGGCGACGAUAAGUAGCUGGUCUGAAAGGAUGAUCAGCCACACUGGGACUGAGACACGGCCCAGACUCCUACGGGAGGCAGCAGUGGGGAAUAUUGGAAAAUGGGGGCAACCCUGAUCCAGCCAUGCCGCGUGAGUGAUGAAGGCCUUAGGGUUGUAAAGCUCUUUUACCCGGGACGAUAAUGACUGUACCGGGAGAAUAAGCCCCGGCUAACUUCGUGCCAGCAGCCGCCGUAA
rnacentral:rRNA from 1 species